GAAAUGAGAUAAGUAAUGUGAAUUGCAGAAUUCAGUGAAUCAUCGAAUCUUUGAACGCACCUUGCGCUCCUUGGUAUUCCUUGGAGCAUGCCUGUUUGAGUAUCAUGAAAUCUUCAAAGUAAAUCUUUUGUUAACUCAAUUGGUUUCUACUUUGGUAUUGGAGGUCUUUGCAGCUUCACACCUGCUCCUCUUUGUUCAUUAGCUGGAUCUCAGUGUUAUGCUUGGUUCCACUCGGCGUGAUAAGUUAUCUAUCGCUGAGGACACUGUAAAAGGUGGCCAAGGUAAAUGCAGAUGAACCGCUUCUAAUAGUCCAUUGACUUGGACAAUACUUUUAUGAUCUGAUCUCAAAUCAGGUAGGACUACCCGCUGAACUUACGC
rnacentral:misc_RNA from 1 species